UAAAUUUGUCAAAAAGAAUUCUCUCGAACCCGAUCGAGAAUCUUCCGGCUGACAAUUCUUGAAACUCGUCAGUCAAGUAUAUAAGCCAGUGCGCCUGGCGCUGCGAGUCAGUCUUAAAUUUAAACGAUUACUAUAAGCAUCGUGCAGUUAAUUAAAAGUCAUCUCUUAAAAGUAAAGUAUUAUUAAUCUAAGUGUGAGUAAUUAAUCCAUCGAUAAGAAAAUCAUCUCAAUUGUGUGAUAAAAAAAAACUAAUCUAGAGAAAAUCAACUUUCGGUGACUUCUAGACAAGGAACUCAUCUUGUUCAAGGCUCGCUCUUUCGUUUCACCCUGCUAAGUGGCCUACAAGCUUCCUUGCGGUACAUGCUCGAGAAAAUCAUCGUACCCAAGGCCCGGCUGGUCACACCUUGUAAGAUUCUACGCUGGAAGAUGUAAGGAAAUUAAUAAAGAUUUGUGAAAUAACAGUUGAUACAUGAAAUCAAUAGAAAAUUAAAGAAUUAAACUUCGGCAAACUGUAAAUUUUGUAACAAUAUACGACGCUAUUAAAACAAAUAAGUCGUUAAUUCAAUAAAUGAUAAAUUUUAUCGAAAUCUACGUCCUUGGGAAUCCCCAGCCGAUUGAUUCUGUUGUUUUUUUGAUUGUUAAUUGUUAUAAAUAGCUAGUAAUGCACUCAGUUAUUAGACUUAGUGAUGAUUGCGAGGCAUCAAGAUGAAGCUAAAUCUUUUAUUUCUGCUGGUAGCAACUCUGGUGAUAAGUUCUCAAUGUUAUCCAUGGAGAAUUGUACCCUCUACUCCAGAUAAUCCGUCAGCAGUUGGUCUUGCUCCAAAUGCCGGACCUCAAGAACGCGGUCCUAGUGAUGAAUUUCUUAAUGAUACAGGGGUUGGCUUUACUGUUGAUAAAAUUAAAAAAGGUGUGACUGCUAUCAAUUUCUACGUUGACAUUCCUGGUGAUUCUAGGACAUGGACAUUCCAUUUCCCGGAUGCUAAACACCGAAAUGGUUGGUUUUCAUACUCGAGAGUCUCGAAGGACAAGAUAUACUGAGUCAUACAUAGAAUGAUUUAUUUUGACCUCGGAACUACUAAUUAGUCAAAUCAUCAUCCGGCUCAACUGCCACUAGAGAGUCAUAACAUUGAUCUUCUAACUUUGAUCGAAAUUAGUUAUUCAUAAUUCAAAUUCAUCUUAUGAUAUCCACAGACAUCAAAUUUCAAAUGAACAUUGCGAACAUUUUUUUCCACACUGGCUAUCGUACAGAAUUAUUGUACGGCAAAAAUAACGUCAGAUUUGCCGAAUCUCGUAUAUUGGCUAACUAUUUGGAAAAGUGAUAUCCUUCUGUCAACGUUAUUUUCAA